CCCGACUACAUGAAGCUGGAAUCGCUAGUAAUCGCGAAUCAGAAUGUCGCGGUGAAUACGUUCCCGGGUCUUGUACACACCGCCCGUCACACCAUGGGAGUCGGAAAUGCCCGAAGUCAGUGACCCAACCAAUAAGGAGGGAGCUGCCGAAGGCAGGUCUGGUGACUGGGGUGAAGUCGUAACAAGGUAAC
rnacentral:rRNA from 1 species